GGAAGAAAGAAAGAAAGAAAAAGGCAGGAAGGGAGGAAGGAAGGGGAAAAAGAAACAACCUGAUAUAAUGCAUGCAAUCAAUUGAAGGAAAAAAACCCACAUAUAAAUCUUAAGUUUGUGUUGUAAGCAAGGAAAGCACAGAUCUUCCCAUUCUUUCUUUACUAUAUCAGUAACCUGGCUAUGAAUCUAUUUUAGGUAAAAUAAAAAGACAAUUGAAUACGAACUUGCAUUGCAAAUUUGAAAUGCUGAAUUUUUAAAAAAUCUCUAUAAGGUGUAUAAAAGUAGUCAGGACACGGUGACUCAUGCCUGUAAUCCCAGAACUUUGGAAGGCCAAGCCUGGCAGAUCACUUGAGGUCAAGAAUUCGAAACCAGCCUGGCCAACAUGGUGAAACCCCGUCUCUACUAAAAAUACAAAAAUUAGCCAGGUGUGGUGGCAGGCACCUGUAGUCCCAGUUACUGGGGAGCCUGAGGCAGGAGACUGACUCACUUGGACCCUGGAGGCGGAGGUUGCAGUGAGCCAAGAUCAGCCCACUGCACUCCAACCCAGGCGACAAAGCAAGACUCUGUCUCAAAAAAAAAAAAAAAAAAAGUUGAUAUUUUUUAAUCUGAUUGAGAUUAUUACUUAGGAAAUUGUUUUUGCUGAUGUUUUUAAGUGGGGCCAGUAACUAAUUAACUGGAAAUAGACUGUGAAGUAAGAGAGUUAAGAUAUGUAUUAUAGAUUUAGUUCAAAAUAUCCCAAAACUUCCCAGGUAUUCAUAUGCCCUGUCGUCCCCACAGGAAACAUCUUUAUUUUGUCUAUGUAUGUUCUAAACACAGUUAGUUCAUCUCUAUAUUACUAUUCUCAAAAUGGAUGCAUCCACAAGUGUACAGUGUGUCUUCCAAAACCAAAUCACUGUUAAGACAGAGAUCAAGAGCAAGAAAAUUCCAUUCAUUCAUCCCUCCAUCCAUCCACUCAUUCAUUUACCUCCUAUUUACAAAACACUUUGUUGGAUAGGAGAAGGCUACUGAAUAUGGGUACAGCACAGAUUCACUCUGACCAUGCAAUCAACUUGGCAUUAUAGGAUAUUUAUAAAAGAUGAAACUAAGCUUUUUGGCAAGGAAAAUUACAAUAAUAUGUAAGUUCUGCACAUCAGUAUGAAGAGUGAUUUUUUCUUUUUUUGGUCAAUCUUCUGUAUUCUAUCCGUGAGCUAUAUACUUACUUUAACUUUUUAAAUUCUCACAACACUCCUAUAGAGGAAGGUUUUCUUGGUUCCUUCCUGCUGCCAUAACAAAAUAACUGAGAGUAAUUAUAAAAACAGACAUUUAUUUCCUCACAGUUCUGGGGGCUGGAAACUUUAAGAUCAAGGCACAGGAAGGUUCUUGUCUGUUGAGGGCUGCUCUCUGCUUUCACGAUGAAGCCACUUGCUGUGUCCUCACAUGGAGGAAGGACAAAAAGGUAUUACUGUGCUCCUUCAACCUCUUUUAUUUGAGCACUAAUUCAUUCAUGAGGGUGCAGCCCUUAGGAUUUAAUCAUUUACCAAAAGCUCCUUUUUUUCUUUUUUUGAGAUAGGGUCUCACUCCGUUUCCCAGGCUGGAGUGCAGUGGCAUGGUCACAGGUCAAUCUCCUGGGCUCAAGUGGUCCUCCCACAUCAGCUUCCCUAGUAGCUGGGACUAUAGGCAUGCACUGCCGUGCCUGGCUAAUUUUUGUAUUUUUUGUAGAAAUUGGGUUUCACAGUGUUGGCCAGGCUGCACUUGAACUCCUGGGCUCAAGUGAUCUGCCUGCCUCGCCUCCCAAAGUGCUGGGAUUACAGGCAUCAGCCCCUGGGCUAGGCCUAAGGCCCCACCUCUUAAUACUAUCACCUUGGCGCUUAAGUUCCAACAUAUGAAUUUUUGGAGGGACACAUACAUUCAAACCAUAGAAAGGUAUUAACCACAUCCUCCAAGUACAGAAAGUGAUGCUCAGUGAGGGGCUAUUUUCAGACUAAAGUUCUAGACCAGGGCUCUGGAGCUUCAAGAGGGUGUUCCAGGCCCCAGUGAGAAAAAGUACAGUGGGUAAAGGAAGGGACAUGGAUAGAAAUGUAAGAGAAAGAAGUUGCCUUUGUUGGGGAGAAAAAUGUAUAGUUUUAAUAUGAGGCAAAAUAUUGAGAGAGAAUUUUCAAUCACAAUAACUUGAGGGAAAAUAAACAACAAAUACUGUGUGGACAUUAAAUUAGACUGUAAGAGUGUAGGCUGCCUUAUCUUUGUUUCUAGGCUCAUAAUCUAAAACCUUGCAUCUCUGAGCCAAGGUUUCUUCAUCCGUUGUUCAGGUGACCUCACGGUUGGCUGAAUAGUGGUUCACACUGGCUUCUGUUUUAUAGCUGGCAGGGUAAACUUAAUGUCUUAAAUAAUUAGGCAAGUACUUUUAUUGAGCAUAUUCUUAUAGCCAUACCGAAAUUCACUAAGCCAGACAGCUUUAAAUUAGAAUAAGCCACAAUUGUUCCAUAAUGUAGUUAUACAGCUGGCAUUGAGAAGCUUUAGUCCAUCAAUGACAGCAUUAAAACGACUUUUGUUAAACCCAUUGUCCCACAUUAUAUGAUGCAGCUGUUGAAGAGUUACAGUUGCAUAUUCCUAUUUUGUAUCAUAUAUCUGGGUCCAAAAUCCUCUACUAGUCCAUAGGCAAUGGGUUGAACCUAUUGAAUUUAACUGAUAAAUGAAGACAGAAGA
rnacentral:lncRNA from 1 species